CACUGCUGAUGAGACCGAACCAGGUCGAAACAGCUGUCCAGUUG
rnacentral:hammerhead_ribozyme from 1 species